CUAUACAUGACUCUGCGCAUAUCAAUAAGCGGAGGAAAAGAAACUAACAAGGAUUCCCCUAGUAACGGCGAGUGAAGCGGGAAGAGCUCAAAUUUGAAAUCUUAAAGGGUUUCCCUUUACGAAUUGUAGUUUAAAGAAGUGUUUUCUGUUGAGGUUUUGGUAAAAGUUCUUUGGAAUAGGACAUCAUAGAGGGUGAGAAUCCCGUAUUUGACCAUUAUUUUCAGCUUUGUGAUACACUUUCAAAGAGUCGGAUUGUUUGGGAAUGCAGUCCAAAAUGGGUGGUAAAUUUCAUCUAAAGCUAAAUAUUGGCGAGAGACCGAUAGCGAACAAGUACCGUGAGGGAAAGAUGAAAAGAACUUUGAAAAGAGAGUUAAACAGUACGUGAAAUUGUCAAAAGGGAAGCGUUUGACACCAGUGUUGUUUUUCUGAAAAUCAAUUAAAGAACUGUUUAUGCUAAGUUGUUUAGACUUUAUCAGCUAACUGUUUAGUUUUGAGCUUUUCUUUAAUGCACUUUUCAGUUAACAAGUCAACAUCAAUUUCUUUUGCUGUAAAAAAGCUUGAGGAAGGUGGCUUGAGAUUCGUCUUAAGUGUUUAUAGCCUCUUGCCUAUGCAGUCGGAGAGAUUGAGGUCUGCAGCGUAGAUCCUUCGGGGCUAAAUGCAUUUGUGCUAAGUUAUAGCAUUUUAUAGACAACUUGUUGACUAUGAUUUGUCUUGUAGCUUACUCGCUUAUGCUAUUUUACCUACGCUUAGGAUGUUGACAGCAGUAUAGACUGU
rnacentral:rRNA from 1 species